AGCUUGAUUAUGGUUCAGAUUGAACGCUGGCGUGACGUUUCAUGCAAGUCAUGAACGGCAGCACGGACUUCGGUCUGGUGGCGAGUGGCGAACGGGUGAGUAAUGUAUCGGAACGUGCCUAGUAGCGGGGAUAACUACGCUGAAAGGUAGCUAAUACCGCAUACGCCCUUCGGGGGAAAGCGGGGACCUUCGGGCCUCGCACUAUUAGAGCGGCCGAUAUCGGAUUACUAGUUGGUGUGGCAACGGCUCACCAAGGCGACGAUCCGUAGCCGGUUUUGAGGACGACCAGCCAUCAGACUGAGAUACGCCCGUAUCUUACGAGCACGGUGGGGAAUUUUGGACAAUGGGGAAACCCUGAUCCAGCCAUCUCAAGGCGUGUGCGAUGAAGGCCUUCGGGUUGUAAAGCACUUUUUGGCAAGGAAAGAAACGGCACGGGAUAAUACCCCGUGCAACUGACGGUACCUGCAGAAUAAGCACCGGCUAACUACGUGCCAGCAGCCGCGGUAAUACGAGGUGCUAAUCGAACACAUUGGGCGUAAAGCGUGCGCGGUGCAGCGGCCUGAAAGAAAGACGUGAAAUCCAGAGCUAACUUUGGAACUGCAUUUUUAACUAACGAAAUAGAGUGCAAGAGGAGGUGAACGCGUGUAGCAGUGAAAUGCGUAGAUAUGCGGAGGAACACCGAUGGCGAAGGCAGCUCUCCUGGGAUAACACUGACGCUCAUGCACGGCGUGGGAGCAAACGAGGAUUAGAUACCCGGUAGUCCACGCCUCAACGAUGUCAACUAGCUGUUGGUUUUGGGUAAUGGUGAGCGCAGCUAACGGUGCAAGCGGACCGCCUGGGGAGUACGGUCGUGACAAAUCAAAGAACAAUUGACGGACCGCACAAGCGGUGGAUGAUGUGGGAUUAAUUCCGAUGCAACGCGAAAAACCUUACCUACCCUUGACAUCUGGAAUCCCGAAGAGAUUGGGAGUGCUCGGGUAAGAGAACCCGGAAACGGCAGGUGCUGCAUGGUCAGUCAGCCGUGUCGUGGAGAUGCCGGGUUAAGUCCGCAACGAGCGCAACCCUGUCAUUAGUUGCUACCAGGGCACUUAAUGAGACUCUGCCAGACAACCUGAGAAGGUGGGGACACGUCAAGUCUCAUGGCCCUUAUGGUAGGGUCAUGACGUCAUACAGCAAUGAGCCCGGGGACAGAGGGUCGCCAACCCGCGAGGGGAGCCAACUGUAAACCCGAUUUGCAGUCCGGAUCGCAGUCGCAACCUGACUGUGAAGUGUCGAAUCGCUAGUAAUCUCGCGGAUCAGCAGGCCGCGGUGAAUACGUUCCCGUCUGCACAAUUCCGGGCCCGUCACAGCACCACAGGGAGUGGGUUUACCAGAAGUAGUUAGUCGGAACCGGGCAGUGAUAUGAUUACCACAGAGAUCACGAUUGGGGUGAAGUCGUACCAUGCGUAAUCCCAGUUAUUACCCGAUGCCCUUUUGUGAUAACAUGCAACUUGACCU
rnacentral:rRNA from 1 species